rnacentral:rRNA from 1 species
UCCUACGGGGGGCAGCAGUAGGGAAUUUUCGUCAAUGGGCGCAAGCCUGAACGAGCAAUGCCGCGUGAACGAGGAAGGUCUUCGGAUCGUAAAGUUCUGUUGAAGGGGAAAAAGAGCGGAGAGAGGAAAUGAACUCCGAUUGAUAUUACCCUUCGAGGAAGUCACGGCUAACUACGUGCCAGCAGCCGCGGUAAUACGUAGGUGGCGAGCGUUAUCCGGAAUGCUUGGGCGUAAAGGGUGCGUAGGCGGCCUGCUAAGACUGGAGUGAAAGGUACCGGCUCAACCGGUACAGGCUCUGGAAACUG